AGAGUUUGAUCAUGGCUCAGGAUGAACGCUGGCGGCGUGCCUAAUACAUGCAAGUUGAGCGAACAGAUAAGGAGCUUGUUCCUUUGACGUAGCGGCGGACGGGUGAGUAACACGUGGGUAACCUACCUAUAAGACUGGGAUAACUUCGGGAAGCCGGAGCUAAUACCGGAUAAUAUUUCGAACCGUGGUUCGAUGUGAAAGAUGUUUUGCUAUCACUUAUAGAUGGACCCGCGCCGUAUUAGCUAGUUGGUAAGGUAACGGCUUACCAAGGCGACGAUACGUAGCCGACCUGAGAGGGUGAUCGGCCACACUGGAACUGAGACACGGUCCAGACUCCUACGGGAGGCAGCAGUAGGGAAUCUUCCGCAAUGGGCGAAAGCCUGACGGAGCAACGCCGCGUGAGUGAUGAAGGUCUUCGGAUCGUAAAACUCUGUUAUUAGGGAAGAACAUACGUGUAAGUAACUGUGCACGUCUGACGGUACCUAAUCAGAAAGCCACGGCUAACUACGUGCCAGCAGCCGCGGUAAUACGUAGGUGGCAAGCGUUAUCCGGAAUUAUUGGGCGUAAAGCGCGCGUAGGCGGUUUUUUAAGUCUGAUGUGAAAGCCCACGGCUCAACCGUGGAGGGUCAUUGGAAACUGGAAAACUGAGUGCAGAAGAGGAAAGUGGAAUUCCAUUGUAGCGGUGAAAUGCGCAGAGAUAUGGAGGAACACCAGUGGCGGAGGCGACUUCUGGUCUGUAACUGACGCUGAUGUGCGAAAGCGUGGGGAUCAAACAGGAUUAGAUACCCUGGUAGUCCACGCCGUAAACGAUGAGUGCUAAGUGUUAGGGGGUUUCGCCCCUUAGUGCUGCAGCUAACGCAUUAAGCACUCCGCCUGGGGAGUACGACCGCAAGGUUGAAACUCAAAUGAAUUGACG
rnacentral:rRNA from 1 species